ACUCAAAGGAAUUGACGGGGGCCCGCACAAGCAGCGGAGCAUGUGGUUUAAUUCGAAGCAACGCGAAGAACCUUACCAGGUCUUGACAUCCACUUAAACUCACAGAGAUGUGAGGUGUCUUCGGACGAAGUGAGACAGGUGGUGCAUGGUUGUCGUCAGCUCGUGUCGUGAGAUGUUGGGUUAAGUCCCGCAACGAGCGCAACCCUUAUUUUCAGUUACUAACGCGUAAAGGCGAGGACUCUGAAGAGACUGCCGGGGACAACUCGGAGGAAGGUGGGGACGACGUCAAAUCAUCAUGCCCCUUAUGACCUGGGCUACACACGUGCUACAAUGGCCACUACAAAGAGGAGCAAGCCCGUAAGGGGGAGCGGAUCUGAGAAAAGUGGUCCCAGUUCAGAUUGUGGGCUGCAACCCGCCCACAUGAAGUCGGAGUUGCUAGUAAUCGCGGAUCAGCAUGCCGCGGUGAAUACGUUCCCGGGCCUUGCACACACCGCCCGU
rnacentral:rRNA from 1 species